rnacentral:rRNA from 1 species
GCUCAUUUUGUAUAUGUAUGANGUUAUGAUGUGAGUUACUCUNUGUAGUAUUGCUCGCACGUACUUAUGCAUUUAUUUGCAAGGUGUUGUCGGCGUGCACUUCUCCCCUAGUAGGACGUCGCGACCCGUUGGGUAUCGGUCUACGACCCGAGUGGUAGACUUUAAUGUUUUNAUAAUAUUAAAGACCCUUGGUGUUUUCUGACCGGCUGCCCGGCGGUAUUCGUACGGUAUUUAGCCGCAUUUAUUUGNNCGUCCAUGUC